AUUGAACGCUGGCGGCAGGCCUAACACAUGCAAGUCGAACGAGUGGCGGACGGGUGAGUAAUGUCUGGGAAACUGCCUGAUGGAGGGGGAUAACUACUGGAAACGGUCGAUAAUACCGCAUAUUAUCGGGUGUGCACAGAUGGGAUUAGCGAGUAGGUGGGGUAAAGGCUCACCUAGGCGACGAUCCCUAGCUGGUCUGAGGGGAUGACCAGCCACACUGGAACUGAGACACGGUCCAGACUCCUACGGGAGGCAGCAGUGGGGAAUAUUGCACAAUGGGCGCAAGCCUGAUACAGCCAUGCCGCGUGUAUGAAGAAGGCCUUCGGGUUGUAAAGUACUUUCAGCGGGGAGGCGUUACCCGCAGAAGAAGCACCGGCUAACUCCGUGCCAGCAGCCGCGGUAAUAC
rnacentral:rRNA from 1 species